rfam:Pseudomonas putida strain TASWS0946 Contig137, whole genome shotgun sequence.
GCACGUUCUCAGGGCGGGGUGCAAUUCCCCACCGGCGGUAAUUGCGCCCAUUGCGCAUAGCCCGCGAGCGCUUGCAGGCAACCCUGCAAGGUCAGCAGACCCGGUGUGAUUCCGGGGCCGACGGUCAUAGUCCGGAUAAAGAGAGAGCGGGA